CAUCAGUCAACAUAGAGAAAAAAAACGUGAGGGAGAGAAAUAGAGAGGCAGCCAUGGUUCUUGAAGUUUAAAGCUUUGCAAUUGGAAUUUGGAAGAGAAAAUAAGAGAAAACGCAAGUUAACAAACCCGUUUUUGGAAGGGACAGUGGUUAGUAAUAUUGUUUUACAUGUAUCAGCUCGAAAAAUGGUGAUUGAAGCGUAGAGGAGGUACUGCUCAGAUUUGGUUUUGGAAAUUCUACACGGACAGCUGACGUAAAUCCUGUUUCCCUCCAUUACCCCUUCGAAACGAAGCGACAAGGUAAAACAGUAAGCUGUCCAGAUUUCACAUUUUGGAUAGUUUUGGCGAGUUUGACAAGUUUAACAUAAGGUUCAAAGGACGGCGAAGCAAGCAGGAUAAGGAAUAAUUCAGACAAGGUACAGAUGCAGGUUUUGGGAGUCCGUCAGCUUAGGAUUCCAUGCAGCUCAGCUGGAAGAGGCUCCAUUGUAUCGGGGCCUAGUUUUUGAUACUGUCCACGGAUGUAUAAAAAUUAUUUCAUCCAUUUAGGGGUACGACGGGGGCCCUGUCCCGCCAUAUGAUGUCAUAUAUAUAUUUAGAGGUCUACAGACAUGUAUAUGUGGGUUGUGUAUGUCAGUUUGAUUCAGCUGGGUCUACAUGAUAUGUGAUAUAUGUUAUUA